CAGGCUGCUGUUAUGAACCUAACACUCCAUGGAACAUGCUGUGGCAAGUGCUACCUUGGACACCUGAUUCCCAAACCCAGGUGCUGAUUUGUUACACACCCCUCAUCUCCUCACGUCGCUUCCCUUCCCCUCCAGACACACGCACCGCCUCGCUCCUCUUUGACCAUGCAAGGCAUACUUCCACCUCAGGGCCUUUGCAUUUGCUCUUCCUUCUGCCCAGAAUGCUCUUCCCUAUUUACCCCCUCUGCAUUUAGGGCCAGUGACGGGGAGGCCUUCCCUGACCGUCCGAUGCAAAACAGCACCCCGCCCCCACUUGCUCUUCCCUACGUUCCCUGAUUUGCUUUAUUUUGCUCCGUAGCACAUGCCAUCACCUGCCUGUCUGUGUAUUUGCCUGUCUGUCCAUUGACUGUUUCCCCCUUGGAGAAGGGCUGUUCUCUGCCUCAUCCCCAUCACCUCUGAUAUGGGGUCUACUUCGGAAACAGCAUCAAAUCGUGGCAGAAGGGACUGGAAGUUCCUUUAGGGUCAUGGACAAGAGACCCACCAGGAGCAAGAUGAAAGCCACCACACCAACAGAGCCAGAAAUGACUGUGGCUGCUGUGCCCAAACUGAGGGAAGCAAACCAGAGAAAUGAGGACGCUCCACCCGCCUCGGCCAGCUUUGGUGACCAUCCACAGAAUUGUCCUGGGGCCUCCCUACUCCUACAGGAGCUCUUCCACCUCUGGGCUCCCACUUCCCCAAAACCCACCUCCUGCCUCCAUUUUGAGCCUCUCUCCUCUGCCCCGACCUCCAGAGCCAUGGUCCCAGUCACACCCAUCCCCCUUCUGGACCAAGCAGACUGCUUCCCACAGCCCCCGACACUUCUCAUCCGUAGGUCCAGCUCUCCUCUCAACUACCUGCUGAGUUCAUCAGGUUUGAUCUCUGGCUUCAGCGUCGCGAGGUUCUCUACAGAAAGGGGCAGAAAGGAAGUAGAAAGGAAAUUUGAGAGUAAUUUUUACACACAUGCUCUUGACUGAAUGUCUCCUGCUGAAAUUCGUAUGUUAAAUCCUAGCCCCCAACGUGAAGGUAUUAGGAAAUGGGUCCUUUGGGAGGUAGUAGGUCAUGAGGGUAGAGCCCUCAUGAAUAGGAUUAGUGCCCUGAUAAAAGAGACCCCGUAGGGGGUGCCUGGGUGGCUCAGUCGGUUAAGCGUCCGACUUCAGCUCAGGUCACGAUCUCGCGGUCCGCGAGUUCGAGCCCCGCGUCGGGCUCUGGGCUGAUGGCUCGGAGCCUGGAGCCUGUUUCCGAUUCUGUGUCUCCCUCUCUCUGCCCCUCCCCCGUUCAUGCUGUGUC